AUUGAACGCUGGCGGCAGGCCUAACACAUGCAAGUCGAGCGACCGGCGGACGGGUGAGUCAUGUCUGGGAAACUGCCUGUUGGAGGGGGAUAACUACUGGAACCGGUAGCUAAUACCGCAUCCCAUCAGAUGUGCCCAGAUGGGAUUAGCUAGUAGGUUGGGUAAAGGCUAACCUAGGCGACGAUCCCUAGCUGGUCUGAGAGGAUGACCAGCCACACUGGAACUGAGACACGGUCCAGACUCCUACGGGAGGCAGCAGUGGGGAAUAUUGGACAAUGGGGGAAAGCCUGAUGCAGCCAUGCCGCGUGUGUGAAGAAGGCCUUCGGGUUGUAAAGCACUUUCAGCGAGGAGGCGUUACUCGCAGAAGAAGCACCGGCUAACUCCGUGCCAGCAGCCGCGGUAAUAC
rnacentral:rRNA from 1 species